AGUGGGGGGAUUUCAGCAUGCAGCACCACAGCCAGUGAGAAAUAGGUUUUCAUACGAGGAUUUGGUGGUGGCACUAACGGGGAAUCAGAGCUACUGGAGGGGGUUGACUUUGAUGAGCAGGACACGUCUAAGUGUUUGGCAGCCGGGCUUAAGUUUGCUGCUGAAAGAAUAAGUGAAUGAUUCCCCAUCCCCCUCUACCAGAGAGGAUGCUGUGCGCUCCUUUUGAGGCCCGAGUUCCGUCCCUCUUUCUUGUGUCCACCUGGUCCUCUCUGAAUUCUGAUUCUUUAUCUGUGAGGCAGAGGUCCACACGUACCCCACCUCCUCCCCUGGGUUGUGUUCCAGCCAGUAGGACGCUGGGCACUCACAGCUGUUUGUUAUGUGAGCCACAUGAGUGCAGGUGACAAGGCCACACCAGACCACAGCCGACUGGUGUGACUUCAGGAAAUGGUGUCACUUCACUAAAGCUUCUACUUUUCAUCUGGAAGUGGAGAUAACCUUGCCCUUCCAAACACAUAGACAUUUGAGAGCAGGGAUGAGAGCCGUCUUAUCAAGUACUGAGAGAAAGGUUCGGCAGUACUGUUUUCUUCUCCCUUGUCUCUUGGUCAUUAGUCUAUCUCUUCUCCCCUAGAAGACCACUUCUAGGGUUCUUAUGGGUGCCACACAUGCUGUUUCUCCUGAAUGCUCCUGCCCUUCCUGGCAGCCAUUACACUCACACGUCUGUGUCCUCAUCGGAAAUGCCUUAGGACAAAGAAGCACUAGGGAAACUGAGGCCCAGGCCUGUGUGAGCAGCCUCACAUCCUGUGUCAACUUUUGCGCGAUUCCCAGAACAGCAUGUCCACUCAGAACCUGGGGCUGGCACAGCCACACAUCCUUUUCAGGAGAGCACAGCCUCGAGGCAGGAGGAACUCAGGGUGACUCAGCUUCACAUGUGACAAACAGCCUGUGAAGUAAAACAGACCAGCGCUCCGGCGCGGCUGCCUUCAGAUCCCAGGGAGGAAGGGGUGGCAUGAGAAGAAAUGGACAGCGUUGAACUCACGCCUCAUGUCGGUAAUACAUACCAAAUGCUUGCUCUGCUGCUGAGACCUUACCACAAACUCCUGAGUCUACAGUGGUCAGAGAGGUUAGGCAUUUCACCCAGGGUUACACAGGAGAUAGGAGCCAGCAGAGCAGGGAUCUGAGCAGAGGCCUCUGAUUUAGAAGCCCUUAUUCUUCCCUAACCGCGUGUCAGGAAAAAAAAAAUAUCCUUUCCCCAACCCCCACUUCCUGUGGUACUGCACAGUUCCCUGUGCAUGAUUCAAACAAAACAAAACCUGACCCAUUGAAUUUUGUUUUACUUUUCAAAGUUUAGAACGGAUAAUACCCCUAGAUCCUUUUACCAUCUGCACCCAGAUGGACAGUUCCUGUCCUCCCACCCUUGGUUUGAGACUGGCUCGUGGAUAGGAGAUGUGUGUGCAGGGGGUGCUGGGACAUGAGAGGAGACAGUACUGCCUUACAGGGCAGCGGAAAGGCUGCUAGCAGAGUCACUUCCAUGGCUCUGUCCAGCACCAAAGUCAAAGCCACAACCUAUCCUGGUUUUGGGGUCAAGGGUUGGGAACACCACUCUUAGGGAACACUCAGAGGAGAUGUGGCCUGGCAGGAAGCACAGGGCCAUGCCAAACAGGAAAGGGGAGGGCGGGGCUGUGAGGCACGGAGACGUCACCAGGAUGCAUGCCAAAGCUAGGCAGGCUUAAAUACUGGGGCAGAGCUGCCGGGCACAUGACUCUGUUGAAAAUCUCCCAGGGAAUGACUUCUAAUCCCUGCCUUAUUGAAGGGUUUGAGGAAGGCUCCAGCCUGCCGACUGCUGGUCUGGGCUGUGGGGGGAAUCCUGGGCUGGCACACUGCCACAAGGACAUUUCUCAGGGAAAGCCUUUGGCCCAAUAAGUCUGUUUUCCCUUUUCUUUGGAAACUAGGAUUUGGAAUCUGUUCAGGAAAAAUGUAACCUACAAACAAAUAGCCUUGGCCAUCUGUGCCUCCCUUGGAGCGAGGUCAAAGCCGGGGAGAGCUCAGCCUCUCUGGGCUCUAACUACAGGCCAUCCCUUUGGAGUCAGUUUCUGGCUGUCCUAAAAUAAUGUCUCCUCUCCAUGCCUCUCCCUCAGUGCUGCUUAUGCCCCAAGUCUUUGCCAGUGUUCCCAUGAUAUUAGAAUAAUAUUCCACCCCCACAGUCUGUGUAUACUUGUCUAUCAUCAUUUCUCCCUCAGAGCUUAUUUCUCAAGAGAUCAGUUGCUUCUCCUCAACAUUACUCUAGGUAAUUUCAAUAUAAAGUAUUCUUUCCUUUUUUCUGUGGGUGAGAACCCCUGAUUUUAUUUUUUAAGAAUAUAGUCAAGGUAUCUGCCAAUGCUUAAACUCUGGCUGUGAGCUAAGUGGUGUGGUGUAUCAUGCUACUCACUGCAUAGCAAAGCGUUUAGGACAGAACCUGGUGCAUAGUAAAUGCUCAACAAAUGUUGCUUAAUAUCCUUAUUAAUUACCUCAAUUUUGUCAUAGCACUCACAGCAGGUAUGAUUUGUCUUACGUGUUACGGUUACGGCGUGACAAAUCUGUGGGCUUCUUGAGGGCAGGGAUUGUGUAUUUAUUCUCUAGUGUCUCCAAAGGGAAUUCCACGGGUGUCAAUCUGGUCAUUCAAGUUGGCGAUGAAGUGCAGAGACUUAUGUCUAGAGUUCCUAAAUCAAUUUAGAGUCACUGUAGCCUAAAGAAUAGAGAAGGAGGACAAGACCACAGAAGAUCUUGGCUUUCUUCUACUUCAGCUGUCUGCUAGUGUUAUGACCUUGGAAAGAUUAAUCUUUUUUGAACCCUAAACAUCUAUUUUCCGAAUGUAGAUAAUGGUCUUGCUUGUCUUCUUUACAGAUCUUCUAUGGGCAUCCAUGAUCAUGCACAGAGGGUAGGCUGAGCUGGCCACUGUCUCACCCGUGUACUGAUUAUUCUUUUAACUCCUCUCGGAGCCCCUUGCUGUCACCACUGCUGUGAUUUAAAGAGAAAAAGGUCCCUUGUUGGCGCUUGUGUUGGAGCAAUUGGUCCCCAGCUGGUGGAGCUAUUUGGAAAGGUCAUGGAACCUUGAGGAGGCAGUCUUGUUGGAGUAGUAGUCACAGGGGUGAGCCUCGAGGGUGGGUAGCCUGGCCCCACUUCCUGUCUGUUCUCUGAAUCCUGACUGUAGAUCAGUGUGACUAUCUGCCUCAUGGUCUUGCUGCCAGGCCUUCCCUGCUGUGAUGGGCUGAGUCCCUUUUUCUACUGGGAGCCAGAAGAAACUAUUUCUUCCUUACGUUGCUGUUUCCACAGCAACUGGAAAAGUAAACGUGAUCAAACUGAGGAUCUGAGGACCCAGGUUACUUUUCGAUGCCAUGCAACCAGUGAGUAAUAAAAUCAUUUUUCUGAAGCCUGCUCUCCUAAUUUUGUUGAAUAUUUCCUCAAUUAUCUCAUAGCAUCCUUUUAGGAUGAAUGUACAUGAGGAAGAGUCAAGAUGUGAUACACCUGUACUGACCUACGAGAGGCGGCAAGUUGCCACAAGCCGGAAGACUUACAACCGUGAAAUCUGUUCUCCCAGUUCUGGAGACUAAAAGUCUGAAGUCAAGAGCUUGGCUGGAUUUGGAGUCACCUAUGUGUCUCUCUGAGAGUGUUCCCAGAGGAUGCCACUGAGGAAGGAAGACCCACCCUCCCAUGGCACCAUCCUAUGGGCUGGGGUCCUGGAACUAUGUGUAAGCACUCCUUACGCUGCUUCCUCGCACUCUCGCUGCCAUGCCUUCCCCGCCCUCGCGACCUGUAUCUUUUCUUGAACUGACCAAGAAAUCCUUUCUUCAAGUUGAUUUUGUUGGGGAUUUGGUCACGGCAACAAGAAGGGUCCCUGAAGUCACCCCCUGCAUCUUCAUCUCGUCUCUCCUCUGCGUUAGUCUCCUCUGUUUCCUCCACUUGCAAGAUGGAUUCGUGCCCUCAGGCUAGAGCCUUAACUUACAUCUGGAGUAGCUAUUUAUGUAAUAUAAUAUUCUGAGUUUUUAGGUGGAUGUAAACUUUUGAGAGAUGCUAUUUAACCGCAAGUUAAAUAAAGAUAAAUGUCUUGA